UCCUGCAAGGUUCAGAGGUGGGAAUAUUUUAGCCCAGAGUUAGAUCUCAGGACAGCAGAGUUUGAAGGACUAACUCCUGGAUUAAUUCUGCCUCAUUCAGCCUACAAUUUAUUCUGAGAGGGGUCCUCCAUUGGAAUAUUUCAAGUCAGGUUCCUGCUAAGAAAAAGCUGAUCAGUGUCAUGGUACCAGGAUGGCAGACUCCAAUGUCAAGCCUGCCCCCAGAAUGUGCAUCAAUAUUCCUUGUUGCUGGAGCAAGAACUAUCAGACAGAAGAGGAAAUCUGGAUGCUCAGCCUGAAUGCGGACUGUGAAGAUUAGAAAAAAAAAAUCAAGUAAAUGAGUGACUGCAGGGGGCUUGGUUGCCUGCUGGAGUAAACCAUGACAGUGCUGCAAUAUGUUUGAGAGGUCUGUGUGGGAUUAGUGCAGUAGUUGGUAUCAGCAUCAGUACAGCACCAUCAAGAAAACAAGAAGAUAAGAAUGGUAAAAAUAAAGGUUUUCUGAAGAUGUUAAGUCAGAAGCAAGAAUUUUUGCCCUGUUUUCGCAGUCUGUAGCACUGUCUUCUUUAGUGCACCUGCCAUCUGUAUCAUGGUAAAACUUCAAUAAAUUUAAAUUGCUGUAUUUUUUCCAUGUA